AGAGAUGUAGCUCAGUGGUAGAGCAUUUGCCUGGUAUGCAUGAGUCCCUGGGUUCUAUCCCCAGCACUUCUU
rnacentral:tRNA from 1 species